GCUGGCAACUCAGCUGAACACAGGCAGGGGGUGGGGAAGUGUCCUCGGGCCCCUAGAAAGGUCUGAGACCAGGGCCUCCUGUGGCCCUAACCAAGAUCUCCCCAAAUGGAAGAUGAGAUCCCAGAGAACAGGGCUCCAGGCGAGGAUAGCCUGGACCAGAGAGACCCCAAUAUGGCAGAUGUCUCCUUCCGCACCGGAGCGUAGAACAGACUCCUGGUCACUCAUUUUGUUCAGUGAGUGGCUGCUACUCUUCCUGCCAGGAGAAGCACUCGCUCCCUGUCUGAACAAGAUGCCGAUGUAGCCUGU
rnacentral:RNase_P_RNA from 1 species